rfam:Monodelphis domestica chromosome 2, whole genome shotgun sequence.
CAAAAGGCCCUUUUCAGGGCCCCCCUCCAUUGUCUUAAUAAGGAGCU